rnacentral:rRNA from 1 species
UACGUAGGGUGCAAGCGUUAAUCGGAAUUACUGGGCGUAAAGCGUGCGCAGGCGGUUGUGUGAGUCAGAUGUGAAAUCCCCGGGCUCAACCUGGGAAUUGCAUUUGAGACUGCACGGCUAGAGUGUGUCAGAGGGGGGUAGAAUUCCACGUGUAGCAGUGAAAUGCGUAGAUAUGUGGAGGAAUACCGAUGGCGAAGGCAGCCCCCUGGGAUAACACUGACGCUCAUGCACGAAAGCGUGGGGAGCAAACAGG